GACGAACGCUGGCGGCGUGCUUAACACAUGCGAGUCGAACGGAAAGGCCCUGCUUUUGUGGGGUGCUCGAGUGGCGAACGGGUGAGUAACACGUGAGUAACCUGCCCUUGACUUUGGGAUAAAUUCAGGAAACAGGGGCUAAUACCGGAUAGGAGAUCCUGCUGCAUGGGGGGGGUUGGAAAGUUUCGGCGGUUGGGGAUGGACUCGCGGCUUAUGAGCUUGUUGGUGGGGUAGUGGCUGACAAAGGCUUUGAAGGGUAGCCGGCCUGGGAGGGUGACCGGCCACCUUGGGACUGAGGUACGGCCCAGUCUCCUACGGGAGGCAGCAGUGGGGAAUAUUGCACAAUGGGCGGAAGCCUGAUGCAGCAACGCCGCGUGCGUGAUGACGGCCUUCGGGUUGUAAACCGCUUUCGCCUGUGACGAAGCGUGAGUGACGGUAAUGGGUAAAGAAGCACCGGCUAACUACGUG
rnacentral:rRNA from 1 species